GUGCAGCAGUCGAGAAUCUUCCUCAAUGGGGGAAACCCUGAAGGAGCGACGCCGCGUGUAGGAUGACACUCUUCGGAGCGUAAACUACUUUUCUGAGGGAACACUAUGAUUGUACCUCAGGAAUAAGAGGCUGCUAACUUCGUGCCAGCAGCAGCGGUGAUACGAAGGCCUCAAGCGUUAUCCGGAAUUACUGGGCGCAAAGCGUCUCCAGGCCGUGAACUAAGUUGGUGGUUAAAUCUUCGGGCUCAACCCGAAAACCGCUACCAAAACUGGUUCACUAGAGUUAGAUAGAGGCGAGUGGAAUUCUCGGUGUAGCAGUUAAAUGCGUUAAUAUCGGGAAGAACACCAACUGCGAAGGCAACUCGCUGGACCUUAACUGACGCUCACAGACGAAAGCGUGGGUAGCGAACGGGAUUAGAUACCCCGGUAGUCC
rnacentral:rRNA from 1 species